rnacentral:rRNA from 1 species
AUUGAACGCUGGCGGCAGGCCUAACACAUGCAAGUCGAGCGGAUGAAGGGAGCUUGCUCCUGGAUUCAGCGGCGGACGGGUGAGUAAUGCCUAGGAAUCUGCCUGGUAGUGGGGGAUAACGUCCGGAAACGGGCGCUAAUACCGCAUACGUCCUGAGGGAGAAAGUGGGGGAUCUUCGGACCUCACGCUAUCAGAUGAGCCUAGGUCGGAUUAGCUAGUUGGUGGGGUAAAGGCCUACCAAGGCGACGAUCCGUAACUGGUCUGAGAGGAUGAUCAGUCACACUGGAACUGAGACACGGUCCAGACUCCCACGGGAGGCAGCAGUGGGGAAUAUUGGACAAUGGGCGAAAGCCUGAUCCAGCCAUGCCGCGUGUGCGAAGAAGGUCUUCGGAUUGUAAAGCACUUUAAGUUGGGAGGAAGGGCAGUAAGUUAAUACCUUGCUGUUUUGACGUUACCAACAGAAUAAGCACCGGCUAACUUCGUG